rnacentral:tRNA from 1 species
GGGCCGGACGCCGUGUUACAGGCAGCGGACUCAUAAUCCGCCGGAGACAUCCCACCAUGGGUUCGAAUCCCACCGGCCCACCA